rnacentral:rRNA from 1 species
GAACGCUGGCGGCGUGCUUAACACAUGCAAGUCGAACGAGAGGACAAGAGAAGCUUGCUUCUUUUGGAAUCGAGUGGCGGACGGGUGAGUAACGCGUGAGGAACCUGCCUUGAAGAGGGGGACAACAGUUGGAAACGACUGCUAAUACCGCAUGACGCAUAGAGGUCGCAUGAUCUUUAUGCCAAAGAUUUAUCGCUUCAAGAUGGCCUCGCGUCUGAUUAGCUAGUUGGCGGGGUAACGGCCCACCAAGGCGACGAUCAGUAGCCGGACUGAGAGGUUGAACGGCCACAUUGGGACUGAGAUACGGCCCAGACUCCUACGGGAGGCAGCAGUGGGGAAUAUUGGGCAAUGGGCGCAAGCCUGACCCAGCAACGCCGCGUGAAGGAAGAAGGCUUUCGGGUUGUAAACUUCUUUUAAGAGGGAAGAGCAGAAGACGGUACCUCUAGAAUAAGCCACGGCUAACUACGUG